rnacentral:rRNA from 1 species
UUUGAAGUGAAAUCCUAUGGCUCAACCAUAGAACUGCUUUGAAAACUGUUAAUCUAGAAUAUGGGAGAGGUAGAUGGAAUUUCUGGUGUAGGGGUAAAAUCCGUAGAGAUCAGAAGGAAUACCGAUUGCGAAGGCGAUCUACUGGAACAUUAUUGACGCUGAGACGCGAAAGCGUGGGGAGCAAACAGGAUUAGAUACCCUGGUAGUCCACGCCCUAAACGAUGUACACUAGUUGUUGUGAGGCUAGACCUUGCAGUAAUGCAGUAAACACAUUAAGUGUACCGCCUGGGGAGUACGGUCGCAAGAUUAAAACUCAAAGGAAUAGACGGGGACCCGCACAAGCGGUGGAGCAUGUGGUUUAAUUCGACGAUACGCGAAGAACCUUACCUGGACUUGACAUAGUAAGAACUUUCUAGAGAUAGAUUGGUGUCUGCUUGCAGAAGCUUAUAUACAGGUGCUGCACGGCUGUCGUCAGCUCGUGUCGUGAGAUGUUGGGUUAAGUCCCGCAACGAGCGCAACCCUCGUCGUUAGUUGCUAACAGUUCGGCUGAGAACUCUAACGAGACUGCCUGGGUAACCAGGAGGAAGGUGAGGACGACGUCAAGUCAUCAUGGCCCUUACGUCCAGGGCUACACACGUGCUACAAUGGGGUAUACAAAGAGCAGCGAUACGGUGACGUGGAGCAAAUCUCAAAAAUAUCUCCCAGUUCGGAUAGUAGUCUGCAACUCGACUGCUUGAAGUUGGAAUCGCUAGUUU